AUUGAACGCUGGCGGAAUGCUUUACACAUGCAAGUCGAACGGCAGCAUAGGUGCUUGCACCUGAUGGCGAGUGGCGAACGGGUGAGUAAUACAUCGGAACGUGCCCAGUCGUGGGGGAUAACGUAGCGAAAGUUACGCUAAUACCGCAUACGAUCUAAGGAUGAAAGCGGGGGACCGUAAGGCCUCGCGCGAUGGGAGCGGCCGAUGUCAGAUUAGGUAGUUGGUGCGGUAAAGGCUCACCAAGCCGACGAUCUGUAGCUGGUCGGCGAGGAGGACCAGCCAAACUGGGACUGAGACACGGCGCAGACUCCUACGGGAGGAAGAAGUGGGGAAUUUUGGGCAAUGGACGCAAGUCUGAUCCAGCCAUUCCGCGUGCAGGGCGAAGGCCUUCGGGUUGUAAACUGCUUUUGUACGGAACGAAAAAGCUCUUACUAAUACUAGGAGUCCAUGACGGUACCGUAAGAAUAAGCACCGGCUAACUACGUGCCAGCCGCCGCCGUAA
rnacentral:rRNA from 1 species